UUCGGACGCUGUCCACGGCGUGUCUGUAAUUCAAGUGUCUGGGUGACUUAGGCUGAAGGACCGCUUGAGCUCGGGAGUUUGGUGCUGCAGUGAGCUAUGUUGAAUUGGGGUCCUUUACACGGCCAACAUCAGCAUGGUGAGUUACAGGGAGCUGGAGGCCACCAGGUUGUCUAAGGAGGGGUGAACCAACCCAGGCUGGUAACGAGCAGGUUAAAUCCCCUGUGUUGGUAGAUGUGGGGACAGCCCCUGUGAAUAGAACCUGCAGUGUUACCUGUGCAAGACAGUGGAACACAGCCUUU
rnacentral:SRP_RNA from 1 species